CUCAUGAGAUCUCUCUGAAAAUUUACUGUAAUUGUCUCAUCUCCACUUGUUGGUGGGCAAUUCUAUUUCUUCCUCCACUGUUGCUGCUUCUUUCCUUUAUUGGGUUUCCAAAAAUGAAGGUAAUUGACAAGAUAAAUGCAGCUAUUGGAGGAGCUGGACUACCAGAGGUUAAUGCAAAUGGCGGAGGAGACCCCAACAACAACAGGGUCGUUUUCUCCUUCGAAUUCUUCCCUCCCAAGACUGAGGAUGGUGUCGACAACCUCUUUGAGAGGAUGGACCGAAUGGUCUCUCACAACCCAUCUUUCUGCGACAUCACGUGGGGUGCUGGUGGCUCCACUGCAGAUCUAACUCUUGAUAUCGCUAAUAAGAUGCAGAACAUGAUCUGUGUGGAGACGAUGAUGCACCUUACCUGUACUAAUAUGCC
rnacentral:misc_RNA from 1 species